rnacentral:rRNA from 1 species
UACAGAGGGUGCGAGCGUUAAUCGGAAUUACUGGGCGUAAAGCGCACGUAGGGGGUUUUGCAAGUCGAUUGUGAAAUCCCCGGGCUUAACCUGGGAACUGCAGUCGAGACUGCUUUGCUUGAGUAUUGGAGAGGGAGGUGGAAUUUCCGGUGUAGCGGUGAAAUGCGUAGAUAUCGGAAGGAACGCCCGUGGCGAAAGCGAGGUCCUGGACGUCUACUGACGCUGAGACGCGAAAGCUAGGGGAGCAAACGGG